GGUCAAGCGAACAAGUACAUGUGGUGGAUGCCUUGGCGAUCACAGGCGAUGAAGAACGCGAUGCGGUAGCUUGCGAAAAGCGAUGGGGAGCUGGCAAACGAACUUUGAUCCGUGUCGAUGUCCGAAUGGGGAAGCCCGCCGGCCCUCUUCUGGGUCGUCCUGAGCUGAAUACAUAGGCUCAGUGAAGCGGACGCGGUGAACUAAAACAUCUAAGUAACCGCAGGAAUAAAGAAAUCAACCGAGAUUCCUAAAGUAGUGGCGAGCGAAAUGGGAUCAGCCUGAACUCUUCAGCACGGUCGUUAGCCCAACACUUUGGACAUAGCAGGUGAUAGCCUUGUAGGCGAAAGCGAAUGUGUGGAACUUAUACAGGGCGGGACACGUGGAAUCUUGUCUGAAGAUGGGGGCCAUCCUCCAAGGUUAAAUACUCGUGAUCGACCGAUAGUGAACCAGUACCGUGAGGGGAAGGCGAAAAGAACCUCGGGAGGGGAGUGAAAUAAAUCCUGAAACUGCAUGCAUAAAAACAGUCGGAGCCUUUGCGAAGGGGUGGCGAUGUACCUUUUGUAUAAUGAGUCAGCCACUUACGUUCAGUAGCAAGCUGAACUGAUUAAGACAGGCGUAGCGAAAGCGAGUCCGAAUAGGGCGUUCAGUUGCUGGGCGUAGACCCGAAACCCAGUGAUCUAUCCAUAGCCAGGUUGAAGGUGCGGUAACACGUACUGGAGGACGAACCCAC
rnacentral:rRNA from 2 species